rnacentral:rRNA from 1 species
UAUCGAGUUUUGAACGGGUUGUCUGCUGGCUCGCAAGGGCAUGUGCACGCCUGUCUCAUCCACUCUCAACUUCUGUGCACUUUUCAUAGGCCGGCUUGUGGGUGCGUUCGCGCACUUGUAGGUGUCGGGCUUAUGCUUUACUACAAACGAUUCAGUUUUAGAAUGUCAUACUUUGCUAUAACGCAAUUAUAUACAACUUUCAGCAACGGAUCUCUUGGCUCUCGCAUCGAUGAAGAACGCAGCGAAAUGCGAUAAGUAAUGUGAAUUGCAGAAUUCAGUGAAUCAUCGAAUCUUUGAACGCACCUUGCGCUCCUUGGUAUUCCGAGGAGCAUGCCUGUUUGAGUCUCAUGGAAUUCUCAACCUUCAGCUUUAUUGAUGAAGGCUUGGACUUGGAGGUCGUGCCGGCUCUCGUAGUCGGCUCCUCUGAAAUGCAUUAGUGCGAACGUUACCAGCCGCUUCAGCGUGAUAAUUAUCUGCGUUGCUGUGGAGGGUAUUCUAGUGUUCACGCUUCUAACCGUCUUCGGACAAAUUUCUGAACUCUGAGCUCAAAUCAG